rnacentral:rRNA from 1 species
UACGUAGGUGGCAAGCGUUGUUCGGAUUUACUGGGCGUAAAGGGCGCGUAGGCGGUCAGCACAAGUCAGUUGUGAAAUCUCCGAGCUUAACUCGGAAAGGUCAACUGAUACUGUGCGACUAGAGUGCGGAAGGGGCAACUGGAAUUCUUGGUGUAGCGGUGAAAUGCGUAGAUAUCAAGAGGAACACCUGCGGCGAAGGCGGGUUGCUGGGCCGACACUGACGCUGAGGCGCGAAAGCUAGGGGAGCGAACGGG